ACGAACGCUGGCAGCAGGCCUAACACAUGCAAGUCGAGCGAGGACUUCGGUUCUAGCGGCGGACGGGUGAGUAACGCGUGGGAAUGUGCCCUUCUCUACGGAAUAGCCCUGGGAAACUGGGAGUAAUACCGUAUACGCCCUAUUGGGGAAAGAUUUAUCGGAGAAGGAUCAGCCCGCGUUGGAUUAGGUAGUUGGUGGGGUAAUGGCCUACCAAGCCGACGAUCCAUAGCUGGUUUGAGAGGAUGAUCAGCCACACUGGGACUGAGACACGGCCCAGACUCCUACGGGAGGCAGCAGUGGGGAAUCUUAGACAAUGGGGGCAACCCUGAUCUAGCCAUGCCGCGUGAGUGAUGAAGGCCUUAGGGUUGUAAAGCUCUUUCAGCUGGGAAGAUAAUGACGGUACCAGCAGAAGAAGCCCCGGCUAACUCCGUG
rnacentral:rRNA from 1 species